rnacentral:rRNA from 1 species
GACGAACGCUGGCGGCGUGCCUAACACAUGCAAGUAGAACGCCCAGUCUAUACCUUGGCUUGCUAGACCAUAGACGGUGGGGUGCGAACGGGUGCGGAACGCGUAGGUAACCUGGCUGGUAGCGGGGGAUAACUAGUGUAAACGAGAGCUAAUACCGCAGAAUAUUAAUUAUUGCAUGAUAAUUAAUCGAAAGGUGCAAUGGCACCACUACCAGAUGGACCUGCGUUUGAUUAGCUAGUAGGGGGGGUAACGGCCAACCUAGGCGACGAUCCAUAGCAGACUUGGGGGGGGGACCAGCAACCUUGGAACUGAGACAGGGCCCAGCCUCUUACGGGAGGCAGCGGUGGGGAAUUUUGGACAAUGGGGGAAAGCUGGAUCCAGCACUGCGGGGGGGGUGAAGAAGGUCUUGGGGUGGUAAAGUACGUUGUUACGGAAGGAAGGGUGUGACUGUGAAACGUUCAGACGGUGACGGUACCUGAAGAAAAAGCACCGGCUAACUACGUG